UUGAAGCAUGUAGCAAGUAAGGACCAAGCAGCAAACAUUUUCACAAAACCAUUAUCAAAAGAAAUCUUCGACAGAGGCAAGAAAUUGAUAGGGAUGAUGAAUAGAAGAAACAUUUAAGUUUACAGAGGAGUUUUGUUGAAUAAACUUUAAUGUUAGAAUUAAUAGGUUUUAUUAAUAAGUUAAAUGGAGAGAUUUGGAAGGUCAAGAGACAGUAGACAAGUUAAUAGUAUUUACAAUUAUGUUUCCUAGAAUAUCAAAAGUUUCUGAAUAUGUAUAAAGACCAAAAUUGUACUCAAUAAAAAUACAGACGUUGCAAUUGAUUUGUCU
rnacentral:lncRNA from 1 species